UACGUAGGGUGCAGGCGUUAAUCGGAAUUACUGGGCGUAAAGCGUGCGCAGGCGGCUUCCUAAGUCAGAUGUGAAAUCCCCGGGCUCAACCUGGGAACUGCAUUUGUGACUGUAGAGCUGGAGUGCGGCAGAGGGGGAUGGAAUUCCGCGUGUAGCAGUGAAAUGCGUAGAUAUGCGGAGGAACACCGAUGGCGAAGGCAAUCCCCUGGGCCUGCACUGACGCUCAUGCACGAAAGCGUGGGGAGCAAACAGG
rnacentral:rRNA from 1 species